rnacentral:piRNA from 1 species
UGUGAAAUAAGUCAGGCACAGC